rnacentral:pre_miRNA from 1 species
AUAAAGUUCCUUUGUGUAAGAAGUACUACUUGUCAUCAAAAUGGAUAAAAGGAGAUGUAUCUAGACGUAUUUUAGUUCUUGAUACAUCCCUUUUUAUCCAUUUUGAUGACAAAUAUUUUCGGACGGAGGGAGGUUAUA